CUGCAUGGCUGUCGUCAGCUCGUGUCGUGAGAUGUUGGGUUAAGUCCCGCAACGAGCGCAACCCUUGCCUUUAGUUGCCAGCAGUUCGGCUGGGCACUCUAAAGGGAACUGCCGGUGUUAAACCGGAGGAAGGUGGGGAUGACGUCAAGUCCUCAUGGCCUUUAUGACCAGGGCUACACACGUACUACAAUGGCCGAUACAAAGGGCAGCGACACUGCGAGGUGAAGCCAAUCCCGUAAAAUCGGUCUCAGUCCGGAUUGGAGUCUGCAACUCGACUCCAUGAAGUUGGAAUCGCUAGUAAUCGUGGAUCAGCAUGCCACGGUGAAUACGUUCCCGGGCCUU
rnacentral:rRNA from 1 species